rnacentral:rRNA from 1 species
UACGAAGGUGUCAAACGUUGUCCGGAAUUACUGGGCGUAAAGGGCGCGUAGGCGGCAAGUUAAGUCAUAUGUGAAAGUCCAAGGCUCAACCUUGAAAUUGCAUGUGAUACUGGCUAGCUUGAGUGCGGGAGAGGGAUGUGGAAUUCCAGGUGUAGCGGUGAAAUGCGUAGAUAUCUGGAGGAACACCGGUGGCGAAGGCGGCAUCCUGGACCGACACUGACGCUGAGGCGCGAAAGCUAGGGGAGCAAACGGG